rnacentral:miRNA from 1 species
UCCUGGAUCCACUCCGUCCACCUG